CUUCGCCCUCGCCCCCUUCACCGUCACCUCCCUCGCCGCAGCCCCCUACGCCUCCUUCACCUGGUUCGGAGGAAGCAGCACCGUCUCCCUCACCUCCCUCUCCCGCUCCGCCCUCACCGUCUCCUCCCUCGCCGCAGCCCCCUACGCCGCCUUCACCUGGUUCGGAGGAAGCAGCACCGUCUCCCUCACCUCCCUCUCCCGCUCCGCCCUCACCGUCUCCUCCCUCGCCGCAGCCCCCUACGCCUCCUUCACCUGGUUCGGAGGAAGCAGCACCGUCUCCCUCACCUCCCUCUCCCGCUCCGCCCUCACCGUCUCCUCCCUCGCCGCAGCCCCCUACGCCUCCUUCACCUGGUUCGGAGGAAGCAGCACCGUCUCCCUCACCUCCCUCUCCCGCUCCGCCCUCACCGUCUCCUCCCUCGCCGCAGCCCCCUACGCCUCCUUCACCUGGUUCGGAGGAAGCCGCACCGUCUCCCUCACCUCCCUCUCCCGCUCCGCCCUCACCGUCUCCUCCCUCGCCGCAGCCCCCUACACCUCCUUCACCUGGUUCGGAGGAAGCCGCACCGUCUCCCUCACCUCCCUCUCCCGCUCCGCCCUCACCGUCUCCUCCCUCGCCGCAGCCCCCUACACCUCCUUCACCUGGUUCGGAGGAAGCCGCACCGUCUCCCUCAC
rnacentral:lncRNA from 1 species